GACAGUCUACCUGUGGCCGGUGUUACAGACUCGGUUUGCGCUGACUCUGUUGUGUAUGAGUGUGUGUGUGUAUUUUCGGUUCCUUCAACGUGCAGGUAUUUCCUGGCCUUAAAACGCAGCUACCGCAGGACAGCACGCUGUAGAUUUCCAUAGUUCCCCUGUAAUACUGACCUCCUCCAGAAUGGUGGAGAGGCAGGCAGGCCCGAAUAUGUCACGCCAGGGCUAAACCCAAAAAUAUUUUAGUGGGUGGGCACAGGACCUUUUUUGUCUUUUUUUCUCCUUUACUUAGCCAUCGCAUAUAAGAUAUCAUGCGUGUAUGCUGUAGUACACUUAUUUCUUCAUCUUUAUGUCUAAUUUAUAAAUUGUUUGUACAUAAUGAAAAUAUAAUUAAAUAAGACACUAUUUAUGUCACAUAUUAGUAAAUAUAUUUAUUGAUUAUUAUAUCUUUAGCAACAUCAACAAACAGUUUACCAAAUUCUGUCACUCUCAAGAAGUAGUGUUUCAGUGAUGUUUAGAUCAUCCGCUACAGAACUUUUGGGCGGAAUUAAAUGAUUGGGGAGAGGGGACAAUUUGUUUUUGGAGGUUUGUAGGUCGGUGGUCGCCCACCUAGUUAACUCGUUACCGUGAGGUCUGUUUGAAUCUGCCUUGACAGCCGGUGAGGAGGAGGAGGAGGAGGAGGAUGCUAUAAAUGCGAAAUCUACGCACAUGCUAUCUGAGGUCGCUUUUGUGCAGGAAUGAUGAAGAAAUUGAGUGUCAUUCAAAUGAACGAUUAACGAGUAAUUAUGAGAGCGCAAAAAUAACUAAGAUAUCUGAAUGCUGUACAUAACUUCGAAAGGGAAAAUAUUUUUUUUACCUAUUAAUAUGACGCAAAGACGAUCUUUUCUAUGAUAAACCUCGUCAUUGUUUGAAGAAAUCGGUUUUAGUGUCAUUUUUGCUGUAAACAUGACCGUCACUAGAUUCGCUAUGCAUAGUUAAUAUGUCAAUGUACUUAUGAAUAUGGAGGUAGGAAUAGGCUAACAGACUUACACAGGACCGGUCUGAACUUUUUGACCACCUGAAGCCUAACUAGGUCAGCUGACGUCGAGGUUAAUUGCUAUUCAACAUUCAUAGCAGGAGUCGACGACUGAACUCGGUUACGGAAUUGACGAAGACUGAAAAGACUGGAGAGAGACCGUUCGAGACAGCUCAAAGAGACUUGGGAAAUGCCACAUAAUAUGAGAAGAUCUUCAUUCGUCUUCUUACUAUCUAUCUAUCUAUCUACGCAGACGCGCAGGCUCAACAGAACCGAGAAAGAAGUUAGGUCACACUGGCAGGACUGAGCCUUAACUCAACCCUGGCGUUGAAUAUGAUCACGGUCUAGAUACUGGACCGUGAAUAUGAUGUACUACGCUGUGGCUACAGUUACGGCAGCCGUAACGCGACUUUCCAAGGCUGUGGUGACGACAGUUUCCCCACUUCCUGGAAUGGCUGUCCAUCCAAAUAACUGUCAAAGGUCAAAACAAGAUCAUCUUCAAUUAAACAACCAUCAGACCUUACCAUAUCUUUUUGAUGAGCAGCACCUUCUAUCCCCAAAUUCGAGGAAGGGGGACCGGCACCAUACAUGGUGCAUAAACCAGGUAACAGUUAUACCGAUAAUCAAGUGUCCACAACAAUCGGUAGAGACUAAGAAAACACGUCUUGUCCCUUUCAUGGUCUGGUGAAGACCCACUGCUCCCCUGAUUGUGUCGGCAUGCGGGCUGGAAAACCGUCAUGCAUGGAACGCUGCGAUUAGGUGAAGAUUCCCCAUUCCUCUUUCGUGAGAGAAAUAAUGAAAUUUCAUUUCAUCCUAACUAUUUCAGCUUUAUAAUUUGGUCUGCCAUUGCCUGGAAUACUACUGCCCUCAUGUCUGGAAAAGUUGCUCUACAUAAAGGCCUGUUUCCUCUUGACACUUGAAUUCUCAUCAGGCAGCUUGAUUAAUGAUCACUUGCCUAUUGACAUUCGUACUCAAUCUCUUGUCAAUGCAAGGAGCCAGUAUCUCUCUCUCUCUCUCUCUCUCUCUCUCUAUCAGGAAUUCGCACAUUUCUCCAUAUCAUUUUCUGCUGAAGUUGCUUCAUCGAAAAGUUGAGGACGCGGGGUGGGGGGGAGGAAGAGAGAGAGAGAGAGAGAGAGAGAGAGUCAGUCAUUCAAUACUUUACAUAUACAAUCAGUCACCGAAUAAGAUCUUGAGUUUUUAUUCUUAAAAACAGUUUAGUUUUGUUUUAUAGUUAAUUCAAUGGACACAGGUCAGGGCUUCAUAUUCAUAGUGCACAGUCGGAUGUCAUGUCAAUACGGUGUUCAGAAGUACUGUGGAUCAUUGAGAAACAGUAGUACCAAGAUGGAAUAACAUAAGGUGAGAUCGUCGGUCGCUCGGUUCCCGCACUGUGACGUCACAGGUGCGCGUCGACUGGGCAGUGCACUUAAUGAUUACGUAUGUUUUGACAGUAAUUUGUUGCUAUGCUGGUGUUCACAAUUUCCAUACAGGAAAAUACUCUCUCUCUCUCUCUCUCUCCCCCCCCCUCUCUCUCUCUCUCUCUCUCUCUCUCUCUCUCUCUCUCUCUCUCUCUCUAUCACUUGAAACACAGUUAUAUCAAGAUAUUUAAGACCUUACCAUACAGAAUAUAAUCUUGUUGGAAUACAAAUAACGAAAGUAACGAGGGUGAAUGAAUAUGAAAAAAAAAACUUUCCAGACUUUUAUUGAACUAGCGUAUUGUUCUUUUAUUUACCAAAAAGUACUGAAGAAUUUUUUUCAUUUUCUUUACACCUUUUUUAAAGAAAUUCUGACUUCCUUUCAGCAUUUAAUAUCUUCAUCCCAAAAUGUAUUUUGCACCUAAUAAAGAACUUCAUUACUUCCUCUGGAGCAUCAAUGUUUAAUUCCCUGAAAAUAUUAGCUAAUUUCGUAAUCCCAUCAACGCCUGGUUUCAACUGUUCCCCAUGAAAAGAUUUAAAGAGUUAUUCCAUUUCCUUUCAAUUACUGACAAAUUGAGGACUGGGCCUAAACAGCACUUUCCUCCUUAUUUUGGAGAUCUAGUCGUUGUUUAGGCCUUCAAUAUCUGGGAAUCCUAAGGAAGGAUAUUUAUUUCUGUACUUAUGAGCUAUAUAACCUCCCAGAUAAUUUAAGGCUUCAAUUUCUAUACCAUAUUGAGACUCUACUCCAAGAUCUACAAAAUCCUCUUCCUCCAGCUCAUUAAGUAGACUUUCCUGAGGAAUUCUCAUCAAGAGAUGAGCAGAGAUACAUAAUUCAGAGUCUAAGUCAACACGACUGGAGUCACUUUCUUCAGAGGUUUUGGAAACCCAAGACUUACCUGGUUCCAUAACACUAGUAUUGCUCAUACAUGGCAUGUUAUCAUCAUUGGGAGCGACACUAUGACCGUGAUUGCUUAAAAUGUUGUUCUUACCUAACAAGAAAUUCCUCAGUCUACACUUGAACUCAGUCUAUACUCUGACCCCACGAUAUCCUUUAGUGGGGUUCUUAAGA